rnacentral:lncRNA from 1 species
GAUGAGGUGAGCGGUGAGGCAAGCAAACCAGGAUACAAUGGUAUCGAGUUGGUCUAGAUUUUCAUUGUUAACCGAGAAAUUAGACUAAGGCCAAUUAGCCCAAUUUGUUCAAAAAAAAAAAAAAAAAAAAAAAAAAAAAAAAAGAGACUAAGGCCAAUUAUAUAAUCUAGGAAGGCCAUUUUAUUUUCUUGAUUCGAUCCAAGUUUAAAUUGCUUAUUUAUAUAAUUAGCCCAGUGUUUUUUUUCUUUCUGGAUGGCAUUAAAAAGCCCGUUAUUCUAUCAGGUUAUAGCAAGCUAUUUCUUAUUUUUGUAAAAUUUAGGAUAA